GUGGGGAAUAUUGGACAAUGGGCGCAAGCCUGAUCCAGCCAUGCCGCGUGAGUGAUGAAGGCCUUAGGGUUGUAAAGCUCUUUCACCGAUGAAGAUAAUGACGGUAGUCGGAGAAGAAGCCCCGGCUAACUUCGUGCCAGCAGCCGCGGUAAUACGAAGGGGGCUAGCGUUGUUCGGAUUUACUGGGCGUAAAGCGCACGUAGGCGGUUUGUUAAGUCAGGGGUGAAAUCCCGGAGCUCAACUCCGGAACUGCCUUUGAUACUGGCAAGCUAGAGUCCGGAAGAAGUAAGUGGAACUCCUAGUGUAGAGGUGGAAUUCGUAGAUAUUAGGAAGAACACCAGUGGCGAAGGCGGCUUACUGGUCCGGAACUGACGCUGAGGUGCGAAAGCGUGGGGAGCAAACAGGAUUAGAUACCCUAGUAGUCC
rnacentral:rRNA from 1 species